rnacentral:rRNA from 1 species
UCGCGGCCUAUCAGCUUGUUGGUGAGGUAAUGGCUCACCAAGGCGACGACGGGUAGCCGGCCUGAGAGGGUGACCGGCCACACUGGAACUGAGAUACGGUCCAGACUCCUACGGGAGGCAGCAGUGGGGAAUAUUGCACAAUGGGCGAAAGCCUGAUGCAGCAACGCCGCGUGAGGGAUGAAGGCCUUCGGGUUGUAAACCUCUUUUAGCAGGGAAGAAGCGAAAGUGACGGUACCUGCAGAAAAAGCACCGGCUAACUACGUGCCAGCAGCCGCGGUAAUACGUAGGGUGCAAGCGUUGUCCGGAAUUAUUGGGCGUAAAGAGCUCGUAGGCGGUUUGUCGCGUCUGCUGUGAAAAUCCAAGGCUCAACCUUGGACCUGCAGUGGGUACGGGCAGACUAGAGUGCGGUAGGGGAGAUGGGAAUUCCUGGUGUAGCGGUGGAAUGCGCAGAUAUCAGGAGGAACACCAAUGGCGAAGGCACAUCUCUGGGCCGUAACUGACGCUGAGGAGCGAAAGCGUGGGGAGCGAACAGGAUUAGAUACCCUGGUAGUCCACGCCGUAAACGGUGGGUGCUAGUUGUGGGCCACAUUCCACGUGGUCCGUGACGAAGUUAACACAUUAAGCACCCCGCCUGGGGAGUACGG